GAAUAAAAAGUAACAGAACCUCACAGAUGCACACUAUCAGUGUUUCUCUCAAGUGUCUAGGAUAAACAAUGUCAACUAAAUGCACUCAGGAAAGCAAACACAAACAGACUUGGCAAGACUCUAAUAUCAACACUCAAAACAUAUGCAUGUUCAAAUCAAAAGGUCUUUNAUGGAUGUAAUGGGGCCAAGGACAAGGGAGGAUAUAAUAUGGAUGAGAAGCUACAAACCAAAAGGAAUACAGGAGCAAUGGGGAAUAAGUGAAAAUACAAUCAAAUCACACCCAAAACCUUUAAUUCAAUCCUCUUCUUGACUCCAUUAUUCACACAAUUUUUAUUUUUUUUUAAUUUUUUUUUAAUUUUUCUCAUUUUUCUGUAUUUUUUUUUCUUCCAUCUUGUCUCUUUUCUUUUCUCUCUUUUCAAAA
rnacentral:lncRNA from 1 species